AUGGGGACGAAGGUUGACAACAAGGGCAAGCAGCCCCUUCACCCAAUGCCCGACGAGGUUGUGCUGCCGCCCACCGCCGAGGAAGACACGAAGACGCCUGAGGGUGGCGACGACAAGGGCAUGGAGGAGCCCCCCAGCAACAAGUGCCGCAACUACGGCCACUACCAUCAGGAGGAUGGCCUGACUCACUUCUGCAAGGUCAUACUUGCACCGAAGCUUGAGUGCAUCACCAUGCCCUUGGACUUCACCAAGCACUUCGUCGCGGUGCCGACAGAGUUCAAGCUCAGGAACAACACCGACUGCUCCUGA
rnacentral:rRNA from 1 species